rnacentral:misc_RNA from 1 species
GCUCUUUUAACAAUUUAUCAGGCAAGGAGGUAAAAAUGU